rnacentral:piRNA from 1 species
UACCAGGUUGGAAAAGCAGAGCUGCCCUACC